UGAUUUGAGAGGAUGAUCAGCCACAUNGGGACUGAGACACGGCCCAAACUCCUACGGAGGCAGCAGUNGGGAAUAUUGGACAAUGGGGGCAACCNGAUCCAGCAAUGCCAUGUGUGUGAAGAAGGCCNNAGGGUUGUAAAGCACUUUAGUUGGGGAGGAAAGCCUCAAGGUUAAUAGCCUUGGGGGAGGACGUUACCCAAAGAAUAAGCACCGGCUAACUCCGUGCCAGCAGCCGCGGUAAUACGGGGGGUGCAAGCGUUAAUCGGAAUUACUGGGCGUAAAGGGUCUGUAGGUGGUUUGUUAAGUCAGAUGUGAAAGCCCAGGGCUCAACCUUGGAACUGCAUUUGAUACUGGCAAACUAGAGUACGGUAGAGGAAUGGGGAAUUUCUGGUGUAGCGGUGAAAUGCGUAGAGAUCAGAAGGAACACCAAUGGCGAAGGCAACAUUCUGGACCGAUACUGACACUGAGGGACGAAAGCGUGGGGAUCAAACAGGAUUAGAUACCCUGGUAGUCCACGCUGUAAACGAUGAGUACUAGCUGUUGGAGUCGGUGUAAAGGCUCUAGUGGCGCAGCUAACGCGAUAAGUACUCCGCCUGGGGACUACGGCCGCAAGGCUAAAACUCAAAGGAAUUGACGGGGACCCGCACAAGCGGUGGAGCAUGUGGUUCAAUUCGAUGCAACGCGAAGAACCUUACCUGGUCUUGACAUCCUGCGAACUUUCUAGAGAUAGAUUGGUGCCUUCGGGAACGCAGUGACAGGUGCUGCACGGCUGUCGUCAGCUCGUGUUGUGAAAUGUUGGGUUAAGUCCCGCAACGAGCGCAACCCCUAUUGAUAGUUACCAUCAUUAAGUUGGGUACUCUAUUAAGACUGCCGCUGACAAGGCGGAGGAAGGUGGGGACGACGUCAAGUCAUCAUGGCCCUUACGACCAGGGCUACACACGUGCUACAAUGGGUAUUACAGAGGGCUGCGAAGGUGCGAGCUGGAGCGAAACUCAAAAAGGUACUCUUAGUCC
rnacentral:rRNA from 1 species